rfam:Streptomyces avermitilis MA-4680 = NBRC 14893 DNA, complete genome.
CUUCAGGGUGCCGAGCCACAGCGGCCGGUCGGCCGGGCGGUCCUGGCCGUAGGUCGCGAGCAGCGCUUCGGCCUC